UAGUUCUAAGAACUUUUGUAUUGUUUGGGUAAAAUUUUAAAAGAAAUUAGGCACUCGUUUUUAAGUCAAAAAAGACAAAAAUAAUUUUUCCUAACUGAUGAUUUUUAGAAGUCCUUAGGUACAAGAGUUGGAUGAACAGGGAUAUCCCGUGGGUUGGGAUAUUCGAUGAAGCUAUUUUAUUUUACUUUUUAUUUAAUAGUAAUUUUGUCAUUUUAGUUUAAAUUAUGAUAUAAAAUAGUUUCAAGAUUAGCUAACACCUCAUAGCAAACCAGAGAUAAAAUUAAUCCCAAGUUUAUCUCAAAAUUAUUGUCCAUAUUUCACGUAUCAAACAACCACUUAGUUUAUCAGCAAAAAGCUACGGUCAGACCUCUUGAUAACGUUACCACGUUAUAACGACAUUUCACUAUAGCAACCUUUUGAUGUUAUAUUUUACUUCUCUAUAAUGACAUUCUACCUAUAACAAUAAUGAUUUGACAAAUAAGUAAUCCUAAUCUCUCUCUGGCGUAUGUUAGCAUGACCAGCUAACAUGCGCACACUGAUCAGAAAAUGGCGCGUGAAAGACUACGUACUAAAGGUAUUGCGACGGUGAAGAGCGCUACGAGAUAAAGGCACAAAUGACUUGAGUAAGUCGAAUGGUAAAACUCCCAUGGAACAAUGCCACCAUUGCGUAUGAAGGAGAGUACACCGAAAUCAACUAGCAUAGGCCCUUCGAUGGCAUCGACUGGACCAAAGGAGAAGACAGUGGAAGUGCAAGUGCACGGUGAAGCAGAGGAGGAAACAACAAAGAAAAAAAUUUCUCAGAAAAAGCCGUAUCUAGAAGAACAACCAAAGACAUGGGCCAAUAUCUUAGACUCUCAUCGAUUAUCUGCAAAAGGGAUGAGACUAAACUCUGUAGCACCUGUUAUGAAGACUGGGGAGAAGAUAAUUAAGCUUAACAAGGAUGGAAUUGAGAAAGCUAUGGAGGAAUGAAAGCAAGCCUUAAUAUUGAUGUGAUAGGAGACUCUCCAACAAUUGCAGCGAUUGAAAGG
rnacentral:lncRNA from 1 species